rnacentral:rRNA from 1 species
CCUACGGGUGGCUGCAGUGAGGAAUAUUGGUCAAUGGACGAGAGUCUGAACCAGCCAAGUAGCGUGAAGGAUGACUGCCCUAUGGGUUGUAAACUUCUUUUUUAUGGGAAUAAAACGUUCCACGUGUGGGAUUUUGUAUGUACCAUAUGAAUAAGGAUCGGCUAACUCCGUGCCAGCAGCCGCGGUAAUACGGAGGGUCCGGGCGUUAUCCGGCUUUAUUGGGUUUAAAGGGAGCGUAGGUGGAUUGUUAAGUCAGUUGUGAAAGUUUGCGGCUCAACCGUAAGAUUGCAGUUGAAACUGGCAGUCUUGAGUACAGUAGAGGUGGGCGGAAUUCGUGGUGUAGCGGUGAAAUGCUUAGAUAUCACGAAGAACUCCGAUUGCGAAGGCAGUUCACUGGACUGCAACUGACACUGAGGCUCGAAAGUGUGGGUAUCAAACAGGAUUAGAUACCCGGGUAGUC